UUUGAUUAUAAUUUAAAGUCUUGGGCCUGCCCAAUGAGGAGUUAAAUGGCCGCGGUAAUUUGACCGUGCAAAGGUAGCAUAAUCAUUAGUUUUUUAAUUGAAAGCUGGUAUGAAUGGUUGGACGAGAGAGCAGCUGUCUCAAUUUGAUUUUAUUAGAAUUUUAUUUUUAAGUUAAAAAGCUUAAAUAAAUUUAAAAGACGAGAAGACCCUAUAGAGUUUUAUAUAUGGUGCUAUAUUAGAUUAUAGGUAUUAAUAUACUAAUAUAGAAUUAUGUAUUUUGUUGGGGCGACAGAAAAAUUGAAUAAACUUUUUUUACAGUUAAAUCAUUAAUUUAUGAUUAGAUGAUCCGUACUUUACGAUUAUAAGAUUAAAUUACCUUAGGGAUAACAGCGUAAUUUUUUUUUAGAGUUCUAAUCGAAAAAAGAGUUUGCGACCUCGAUGUUGGAUUAAAAUUAAUUUUUGGUGCAGUAGCUAAAAAAUUAGGUCUGUUCGACCUUUGAAAUU
rnacentral:rRNA from 1 species